rnacentral:rRNA from 1 species
AGUGAACGCUGGCGGUAGGCCUAACACAUGCAAGUCGAACGGCAGCACAGAGGAGCUUGCUCCUUGGGUGGCGAGUGGCGGACGGGUGAGGAAUACAUCGGAAUCUACUCUGUCGUGGGGGAUAACGUAGGGAAACUUACGCUAAUACCGCAUACGACCUACGGGUGAAAGCAGGGGAUCUUCGGACCUUGCGCGAUUGAUAGAGCCGAUGUCGGAUUAGCUAGUUGGCGGGGUAAAGGCCCACCAAGGCGACGAUCCGUAGCUGGUCUGAGAGGAUGAUCAGCCACACUGGAACUGAGACACGGUCCAGACUCCUACGGGAGGCAGCAGUGGGGAAUAUUGGACAAUGGGCGCAAGCCUGAUCCAGCCAUACCGCGUGGGUGAAGAAGGCCUUCGGGUUGUAAAGCCCUUUUGUUGGGAAAGAAAUCCAUCUGGUUAAUACCCGGGUGGGAUGACGGUACCCAAGGAAUAAGCACCGGCUAACUUCGUGCCAGCAGCCGCCGUAA